AUAUAGUCAAGGUCUGAUUCAUGUUUCUCUAAAAACGCAAUGACUCAGUGAGGCAGUCAUCAUCACUAUAAAUGGAGGGAAGAAUACAGAGAACUAAGGGGCAAGAUGGGCUUGGGAGAAUAUACUUUGAAGUUCUCAAUCUUAACAGACUGAAAAUCAUCUAUCAUCCCUAAUUUAGGCUCUUUAGCUUGUAGUAGCCUACCCUAAGUUCUUGGACUCCAGGUUGCUUAUGGGAUGCAGUGCUAUCUUAGAUAAAAACCACGAGCCCAUUUCCUCAUCUAUAAAAUGGGACUGAGACUACAUACCUCAUAGAACUUCAUGAAAAUUUAACAUGUGUAGCACAGUGCCUAGUUCAGGUAAGGAGCCAGGUAUAGCUGACAUUAUAGAGUGUUUAUUUCCUAUCAGGAUGAUCUGGUCGAUGUUUUUAGGAGUAGGUCUCAGACUCAGGCUCUUUUCUGGGGUGUAUGUGGUACAUUAUGGAUGAACCAUCCAUCCCUGAGGACCAGCUGCACACACCUGCGCCACAUGAUGGCCAGCCUGGAGACUGGCUGGGCAUGCAGAGCAGCUAACUGCCCCUGUGGGUGUUAAACUCAGGCAAUGCUCUUGUGGCCUUGACUUCAUCACAGUCACCUUCUAAUCUCUCGACUAGCAGGCUGUUUUAGGAAAGAUCAAAGCUUUCGAAGGACUCACUGAAUCUACCGGGAGACAGCAGCUGGGAGCAUGGUGUAAACCCUAGGCAAGAUAAUUUCCCCAGGGGGAACAUCCCCUGUAGGACAGGAGGCUGGUCAGCCAGGAGGAGAAACAGUGCAUGUUCUGGGGGUUUGGAAGCAACACUCUGGUCUCAGGACCUGCAGCGCUGGUGUCACCCAGGCAUUUUUGCAAAUGUAGAAACUCAGACUCCAUCCUUGUUCUACAGAAACAGCAUCUUUAAAAAGUCAGGUGGGGGGGUGUUCAUCUGCACCCACACUAAAUUGGGGGCCAUUGAUCUAGACCAGUGUUUCUAACUUGGCUGCAUGUUUGAAUUGCCAGAGAACUUUCCCAAAAUAUCAGAUGUCCAAGUCCACUCGGCCCCAAGAAAGCAGAAUAUCUGGGAUUAGGACCUGGACAUCUGUGAUGAUUGCAGCUCCUUACUUGAUUCUGGAGUCCCAGAAUGUGACGCCCCCUUCUCUAAAAUAUAACCUUGAGGAUAGUGUGCCUGCCUCCAAGGCUGAGCACGUGCUGGACAGAAGCAGCAGGCCACCUGUGAGAAGGUGUGUAUCAUGCAUAGUGAUGGAAAUACAGGGCACCAGCAGGGAAAGGCAGGGGCCAAUGAAGCCAUGUAGAUUUGAAAUGAAUCCCAGUACCACCAACUAGUAGCUGGAUGGCCUCAGGGAAAUUAUUUGACCUCGAUGGCUUUGGGUUUUCUCACAGGUAAAGUGAAGAUAAGAAUAUCAAGCUUAGAGGCUGCACCCACAGCAUAUGGAAGUUCCCAGGCUAGGGGUCAAACUGGAAAUGCAGCUACCGGCCUACACCACAGCCACAGCAAUGCCAAAUCCAAGCCACAUCUGUGACCUACACCACAGCUCACGGCAAUGCUGGAUCCUUAACCCACUGAGUGAGGCCAGGGAUUGAACCUGUGUCCUCAUGGGUGCUAGUCAGAUUUGUUUCCACCUAGCCAUGAUGGGGAUUCCAAUAACAAUAUUUUUUAUAAUUCUGGAUGAAAAGGUAGGCACAUGACCAAACUUCUGGACUUUAAUGAUAUUCUGCGGAAAGUGUGGAUGUUUCAAACAGCUCUAACAAGCAUCCCACACCCAGGAUUCCAUUUACGAGCAUGUGGAAGGAGGAAAGGCCCAAAACGGUGGGUGAGAUGAAAGCCAACAUAUAAAAAUGAGCCAAUGAUUUUAAAAGACUCUGUAUAAUCUAGUCUCCUACUGCUUAAUGUAUAUAUUACAUAGUGGAUAGUUAAUUUCACCUAAGAGAACUCUAUGAGAAGAGAGCUUAUUCUAUGCCCACAUAUUCCCAGGUGUGCCAGGAGAGGGAAAGUGGGCACAGUUCAUGAAACUAAUUAUCUGAGGGAAAUUGCACUGAGUCCAGUGUUAUGACAGAAGUACUCACGUAAUAAAGACCAAUGAAGAGAAUGUUCCUUGUGCUCUUAUAAACUAAAACUAGCCAAUGGUCCCUGAAGGGAAAAAUACACAGCCACACCAUUGAAUGUAUACCUGCACUGAAGCCACUAAUGUGUUUUAAAAUAGGAAACUGUACUGAAACGCUGCUCUGCAUCUUCCAAUUUCUCGAGCACACAGGUGGUUUCCAAUUCUGUGCAAGCGGUUAGGGCUGAAAGAGGGAGGUAAGCCCAGUUCUUGCCUUCAAAAUGUUUAUGCUUUAACAGAGAAAUCAGGUAAGUCAAAGCAAUUUCAAAAGCAGAGUACUAUUUAAAAGAGUUAAGAAGUCCUUGCUCACCAGGGUUCUGGCAUCACAGUAUGAAAAUCAGUUCUAGGUAGGUCAUGAUGUUUCCCAGCUGUACCUUUUAUUUUUAUUUAUACAUUUAUUUAUUUAUUUUGCCUUUUAGGGCUGCAGCCAUGGCAUAUGGAGCUUCCCAGGCUAGGAGUCAAAUUGGAGCCACAGCUGCCAGCCUACAUCAUAGCCACAGCAUCUCGAGAACCAAGCUGCGUCUUCCACCUACACCAUAGCUCAUGGCACAGCCAGAUCUUUAACCCACUGAGUGAGGCCAGGGAUUGAACCGGCAAACUCAUGGUUCCUAGUCAGAUUCUUUUCCACUGCACCACUAUGGGAACUCCCCAGCUGUACCUUUUAAAUGAUGGAUCCAGAGAAGGCAAGGUGUUCCUAGGGAGGGGACAGGAUAGCCACAAGGUUAGGGGGUUAUUUGAGUAGCUUGAGUAUUUUACAUUUGGCAAGGAAAUAUUUGGAUAUUUCCACUGGUCCAGUUAUCUCGGGGCUUCCUGGUGUUGAAUAAAGGUCAAGUGCAGAUGCUGGGACCAGCCUGCAGGAAAAGCCUCUCUUCCUUUCUCAAGCAAAGCCUCCUAGCAAAAAUUAAUACAGAGUACAUUUCCUAUUGUCUUCUGAACUUAUUUCAGUUGGCAGCUGAAAAAGUUACAUCUGAUAUGCUUGACUAGAGCCUGCAUUUCCUCUGGCUUACAAGCACCCAGAACGCACAGAAGCCACACCUGGGUGUCAAAGGCACACCUGCCAGGAUCUUUGCCACCUGGCACUCAUGUGGGUGCCCCAGCAGAUCCCAAGGACAGAUUGCUCACCCCUGUGCUCCCAAGUUGGGGAAAACUGCAGCCUGUUUUACUGAACCCCUCAACAAUCUAAGACCCUCACGCUCCAUCCUGGUAGGGCUCAACAUCCUUCCUUCCUUCCUUUCUUGAUUUUAAAAUUUGAAUUGACUUGCUGCUGAUGGCUUUUAAGGGAGAAAACAGACUUGAACAAUCUUCCAUGCUUUGGAAUCUAACAGAGACAUAAAAUAUCUAUUUUUGGAGCCUAUAAAUUCUCGUUAUUAUUGUUUUUUUCUUACUUUAGAGGAAUCCACAGUAAUUGAUUCACAUUAUUUCACAUCUACUCAUGGGCAGAAAUGGUGCCCUCCUCUCAGAAGAAGUUUAAAACUUCGUUUUCCUUUUUGAAAACAUUACUCUAUCAGAGCACUACUCUGUCGUCUCAAGUCCACUUGCACAUGCUAAAAAGGCCUGGCUGCUUGUCAGACAUAUUCAGGGGACACGCUAUCUGGCAAACAUUAGGAUGAGCAAACUGGUGUCAGCUGAACCCCACCUCCCAAACAACGCCAGGCUAAUCUAAGACUCUGGUGGGUCUGACAUCAUUGAAGGGGGAAAAAAAAAAAAUUCCUCCUACCCUAGCCAAGCAAAUUCUGGGCAGGAAGCAGAGAAGACAGCUUAAGCUCUAGGAACAUCCUGAGAGUAGUUUUUCAUGGUGAACAGAAAACAGGUUGGUGGGAAGGAGCUCUGGACAGCUAAUCAGAGGCCUAGGUUCCAGCCCUAGCUCGCAAACAUCUGCCUUGGAAAGAAAUGUAAGAUCCUCUAAGAUUCUGUUUAUUCAUCUGUCAGAAAAAAGAAGAAUGGUAAUGUGACAGUGUCCAUCUUAAUAGAAGCUGCACUGACUCUAGAGAAUCGCUUUUUAAGUCUGUGUCUCAGGCCCUCUAUUUAUUACCUGUGUCACUUUAGAAAACUGUUCUUUCAGAGCUUCAGCUUUCUCACCUGUGAAAUUGGAAAACAUUAUUUUUGCAAGGUUAUAAAUUUCCUUUGAUCAAUACUGGUGUGUGCGCCAGUUCUGGGCUAGGCAUCCUUGUGUGAUCUGUGGAAACUUCUACCAAUGCCAAGAACAAAACACAACAAAACAAUAAUAAUGAUGCUUGUCCUGAAAAAGCUUAUGAUCUGGUAGGAGACACCUUUCAACUACAUACGGGAAUAAAUAGAAAAUUUUAACUGCGAUAAAUUGAGAAGAGGUGCUUGAUGCUAUGAGUAUUAUAUGUGUAUAUAUGUAUAUAAUAUACAUAAAUAUAUAUACACUUGUCAACUUAAAAAAAUGCACAAGAUGAGAGUUGUGACUUAAGUUUUAUUUGGGGCAAAAUAAGGACUAAAGCCUGGGAGGCAUCAUUUUAGAUAGUUCUAAGAAACAGCUUCAAAGGGGGAGGGUGAGGAGUUCCCGUCGUGGCACAGUGGUUGACGAAUCCGACUAGGAACCAUGAGGUUGCAGGUUCGAUCCCUGGCCUUGCUCAGUAGGUUAAGGAUCCGGCAUUGCCUUGAGCUGUGGUGUGGGUUGCAGAUGCGGCUCAGAUCUGGCGUGGCUGUGGCUGUGGCUGUGGGUAGGCUGGUGGCUACAACUCCGAUUAGACCCCUAGACUGGGAACCUCCAUAUGCCUUGGGAAGUGGCCAUAGAAAAGGCAAAAAGACAAAAACAAAAACAAAAAAACAAAGCGGGAGGGUGAAGUCAUUAUACAUGUGAUUUUGAUGAAUGGGGAGGUACAUGCAAUCAGACACACAUUUUAUUUUAUUUUAUUUGCUUUUUAUGGCCACACCUGUGGCAUAUGGAGGUUCCUAGGCUAGGGAUCCAAUUGGAACUGCAGCUGCCAGCCUAAGCCACAGCCACAGCCACAUCAGAUCUGAGCCACGUCCAUGACCUAUACCAUAGCUCAUGGCAACGCCAAAUCUUUAACCCACUGAGUAAGGCCAGGGAUCGAACCCACAACCUCAUGGCUCCUAGUUGGAUUUGUUAACCACUGAGCCAUGAUGGGAGCUCCCAGACACACAUUUUAAAAGAAGGUCACUGCUAGUCACGAGGAGCAGACAUCACCAUGAAGGAUUUUAGUGAUUUUCCAGGUACGAAAAGAUGCAAGAAUUGGGCUCAUAAAAUCUUCCCCUGAAAAUAUCUAUCUGAAGAUCUGUUCUGCCAGUUUUCCCAGAGCACUGAAUGCCUCACUCCUAAUCUCCACUCUGAGCUCCUUUCAGGGGGUUCUGAGGGUCAGCAGCUACAGUGGCUCAUGAGCCAGUCCAUGUAGAGGCAGAUGGCAAGUGCCAGUCUCCAGUUGGCUUACUGGAAAGAUUUGGACCAGUCAGAAUGCAUGCGUGACAUAAGCUAUUCAUCACAGCCAAUUCCAAUGAUGAAUGAAGGGAGAAAAAGUCUGAGAUGAGGUUAAAAUCUCAUGGCUAUAGCUUACUGAGUUCAUUCUGAGAAUGAACUACUAUUCUCGUUUUAGAAGUAAACAGACCGAGGCUUAUAGCAGCUAAAUGUUAGACCCAAAUUACUCAGCCAGUUUGCUUUUGAAAAGCUGGAUUCAAACUCAAGUGUAUCUGAUUUCAAAGCCUGUUGUUUGGCCACCAGUAAUAUAUUCAGCCCUUACUAAGUGCCUAUACUUGCUAGAAUCCCUCCUUAUGUCUUCCAUCUAAGCUUUGAAACCUUUCUCUCUGGAAAGCCUGAAAACCAUGUUGCUUUGAGUCUUUGCAUCUCAAACUUGGUGGACAGUUGAUCCACCCUCAUAAGAGAGGAAAGAAUAAGGAUAUUUAAAAAAAAUUAUUGGCGUAGCGUUGACUUACAAUGUUAUGUUAGUUCCAUGUGUAGAGCAAAGUGAAUCUGUUACAUAUAUACAUAUAGCCAUUCUUUUUUCCCAUAUAGGUUGUCAUAGAAUAUUGAGUAGAGUUUCCUGUACUAUACAGUAGGUCUUUGUUUAUCUCUUUUAUGUACAGUAGUGUAUAUCUGUUAAUC
rnacentral:lncRNA from 1 species